UAUGUUCUAUUUUUAGCCAUGGCAGCCAUCUUGGUUGGUUGGGCGGGUCACCGGACACAAUUUUUAAACUAGAUACCCUAAUAAUGAUUUUGGUCAUGUUUGGUUAAAUUUGGCCCAGCAGUUUCAGAGAAGAUUUUUGUAAAAGUUAACGACGACGACAGCGACGGACGACGAGGACGACGACGGACGACGCCGGACGCCAAGUGAUGAGAAAAGCUCACUUGGCCCUUCGGGCCAGGUGAGCUAAAAAAGUGGCCAUCUUGUAACAUGGAUUUAUGCAAAAUAUGUUGAUCCACAUGUUUUUGAGAUAAUAAUUAUAAAAUCCAGCAG
rnacentral:lncRNA from 1 species